GCGCGGCGGGAGGGGCGGGGGCACGGGGGGCUUUACGAGGAGGCAGCAGUGGGGAAUAUUGCACAAUGGGCGCAAGCCUGAUGCAGCGACGCCGCGUGAGGGAUGGAGGCCUUCGGGUUGUAAACCUCUUUUAUCGGGGAGCAAGCGAGAGUGAGUUUACCCGUUGAAUAAGCACCGGCUAACUACGU
rnacentral:rRNA from 1 species